UUUUGUCAUUAGCAGUGCUUUAUUUAUGUUCAUAUUCCACGUAUGCAUGUGCUGCUCCGGUGGUGUUUUAUUAGUUGAUUGGCAUAUAUGGAUCUCUCCAUGUUUAUUAGUUGAUCUCCAACCCCUACUCUGCUGUGGUGCUGUGGGAGCAAGAAGAGCAUGCAUGCUUUCUCUCUACAUCUAGGGUCCAUACGGCCAGAUUGACGGGCCUAAACUCUGGCUCAAAGGUUUCUUUCAAGAAUCAAGAGAGAACAUUCAAGGAGUGGAUUGUUUGGAAAUUAAAACCUUCAGAUUUCUUAGAAGUGAGCUUCACUUGGAUUUAUGUGAAUAUAAGCGUAAGAUGUCUAGUGGCAAUGCUACAAAAUCAUUGCAGGCGUGACUCGUGAGUAUCCGGAUUGCACUGCUGCUGGCCGUUUCUUGCAACUGCGCACAACAGGCUUCUGACAAAGCCAAGUCAUGGACUCAUGAGGUCCCUUUUUUCAGCCAAACUGAAAGCACUUCAUGUUAGCUUGUAUUCGAUGUUGGAUUAACUACAAUGCAUUGUACCCAUCCAUGCUCCAGGGUGAGUCUGUACAUAUCCUUGUUAGAUGCACCAAUGCCUAUGAUAGUUCUGAACUCUAACAAUAUAGUAUCGUAUGUUUAAUCGAUGUUCUACUAUUAGAUCAUAAUGUUA